AGUAAAAAAAGUAGGACAAUGUAUUGAAGAAUGAAAACUACAUUUACAUCUUUAGUCUUUGUAUUUAAUCGAUCUUGUAUUACAGUAUUACACUUUGUCUCUUUGACCCAAGACUCACUAUUUAGUUCCAUGGCCAACUCGAACCAUCCCUGUGACCCACAUUGAGGUCACGACCCACUGUUUGACAGUGUUCCAUAGACUCAACCUAUGUUGAAAUACUGUAUUUGCGAAAUCUAAUGCUUGUGAAUGAUCACCGUCUCAGUCAUCAAUACUGGCGUUUGAUUGGUCCUGGUCCUACUCCCUUUUUUACUUUUGUCACACACAUUUUUUUUCAAGUAAACCUUGAGCCUGAAUUGACUCAGAGUAGAUGUCCCCACAAAGACACAGCCCCCCGCCCCCCAUAAGAGUAUCUAUCCAAAUAAUGUCCCCACAAGUGCAGAUAGACCAGACAAACACACACACGCCGACUCACUUUUGCUUCUUUCAGCGGAAGAAGAAACAACAAGUGCCUCCGUUUGAGUGAAUCCAUAUGUGUGUGAGGCGUCAGCACUGUGCAGCAUUAGACUGAAGGAGAGUCUGGUAAUAAGGACCAGACCUGCAGACAGACAGACACAGUCUCGUUGCAUAAGGACGGCAGUAAAAAGGCUUAGGUCCUGGCUCUCUUCCUCUGUCUCCUCGCUCGACCAGAGGACAGAUGGAGGCAGAAGAAAGUGAACGAGCGAUGGCGGCGGCUUUUUUCACAUGCCGCUCCUCAACAGAUGGACGCAUCGUUUAUUUAUUGAAAAUAAAUCAGACCGGGGGUGAGGCCGGCCCCGGCCCCGGCUCCUGCUUUGAUCUCCCACAGCCUGACUGGGACUGGCACCUCGUGGGGGCCACCGCUAAUUGCAAAUUUUGUGAAAUGUUUAGAAAAGCCGGCUCCUCUCCUGCAAACACGAGGAGGCCCAAGAAAUAGGUUAGAAUGGAGUUAAUACACGGAGUUUGAACCUUCCGUGGUCUUUGUCAGAUCAGCUGGGAAAAAAACAAACAAUACGUUAGCUCUGUGUAUCUUUACAGUUGAGGUGGACUAGAGUUUUGGUUGUUCUGUUAGCAUGUUGUCCUAGUUGCAGUUUGAACGCCCCGGUCCAUGACUUCAGAACUCGUUAGUGAUUAUUACUUAAUAUGAAUCUAAAUUAUGGUGAAAUGCAAUGCAUUUAGCUUUGACACCAGAGACUUAACUUACAAAAAGACAUGUCAGAGUGGAGGUGAUGCUGCCCUCUGCUGGGCCUUUAAUUACAGGCUAUAUAAAACAGUGGUUCUCAAGCCCUGGUAUGCAUACCACUGCUGGUACUUGGACUUUUUUUCACUCAGUUGUUAAAUACACAUAAUAAUUAUUGUCUUGGUCGGUUGUUGUUUGCUGUUGUACUUCAAUGUACUUGUUGGUUUCAGCUGAUAAAUAAACAGUUUUAUUAGGAGUAAAUUCCAUACAUCAUAUCACUCCAUUUGUUAAGCAACAACUAUUUCAUCUGUUUCCCUCUGGUUUUUAUCCUCCAGACCUUAUCUAAAAUGAAUUUCAUGUUUUAAAUCACUCUAGAUUCACUGGUGAAUUCAGUCAUAACACAAGCAGGAAGCAGGAAAUCUAAGGUCAGAGCACGGGUUGAUCUGAUAGUGAAAAUGAGAGACUAAUUAGGUUUCUUUGAGUCACGUACUAUGACACACUCAUGUCUGCAUUUGACUUAUCAUCGGUUGGUCUGGUGUCGCAGACUUUGUUGGGGAUUCGUCUUGACCAAAGUCUGUCUUCAGUAUUUGACUGACUUCACAGCAAUCUGAACAAGACUGAGCAUGAUUCGACUUCUCUAGUCCUAACCAUUCAGUACAGCUCGUACAGGUGCGUUUAUUGGGAUGACGUGAGUGAGCCUGUGUGUAAGAGAGUGUGUGUGUGUGUGUGUGUGUUUGCAGUAAGGCCAGCCAGUCACGGUCAACCUAUUGUCUUCAAUCCCAAUGAGCAACCGUCCCGUAGCCUGUUAUGACUGAUGAACGCUGUCGUAUGCGACGUUAACGCUAACAUCACGUUAGGUUUGGGGUUGAGCAUUGUUGCCCACUUUAAACCUCAGCAGCAGUAGCGUUAGCUAACUGCUUCCUGCACUCUGAACCAAAAGGAAAAAGAAAAAAAAGUAAAACAUAACAGCUGCACUUUUUAGCUGCUUUGUUGUCAGUGUUGACAUCUGGUCUUAAGAAAACCUCAAAGACGGUUCUGUGCUGUAAAACAAUCCAAACUUGUUAAAUAAUCAAAACAGCUUGUGGCAACGUUGUGUGAUCAAACGGUUGCCUUGGAACAAAACCCUAGUGGAUUUUUGCUAGCCGUUUAACUUUUCUUUUUUUUCUUUUCUUUUUUUUUUAUGAGAGCAAACGUAAGCUAAUAGUGGCGUAUAAAAUAUACAAUAAAGUAAACAACAAAUCAUCUCUUCCCUCGUGCCUGUUUAUUGGAACGAGGAGACAGUGGUACCCACGUAAAUAGGUCAGUCGGGCUGUAACUUGGUCUGUAUGUAAACAUACACAGACCCCCA